rnacentral:rRNA from 1 species
UACGAAGGGGGCUAGCGUUGUUCGGAAUUACUGGGCGUAAAGCGCGUGUAGGCGGGUCUUUAAGUCAGGGUGAAAUGCCAAGGCUCAACCUUGGAACUGCCUUGAUACUGGAGACCUUGAGUCCGGGAGAGGUGAGUGGAAUUGCGAGUGUAGAGGUGAAAUUCGUAGAUAUUCGCAAGAACACCAGUGGCGAAGGCGGACUCACUGGCCCGGAACUGACGCUGAGACGCG